rfam:Schistosoma margrebowiei strain Zambia genome assembly, scaffold: SMRZ_scaffold0000776
ACAUUGCUGAGUAGUCCCACAAUAGGACGAAAUGGCCGUCCAGUGU